rnacentral:rRNA from 1 species
GACGAACGCUGGCGGCGUGCUUAACACAUGCAAGUCGAACGGUGACGACAGGGCUUGCCUUGUCUGAUCAGUGGCGAACGGGUGAGUAACACGUGAGUAACCUGCCCCAGACUCUGGGAUAACCCCGGGAAACCGGAGCUAAUACCGGAUAUGACACCAACCUGCAUGGGUAUGGUGUGGAAAGUUUUUCGGUCUGGGAUGGACUCGCGGCCUAUCAGCUUGUUGGUGAGGUAAUGGCUCACCAAGGCGACGACGGGUAGCCGGCCUGAGAGGGCGACCGGCCACACUGGGACUGAGACACGGCCCAGACUCCUACGGGAGGCAGCAGUGGGGAAUAUUGCACAAUGGGCGAAAGCCUGAUGCAGCGACGCCGCGUGAGGGAUGACGGCCUUCGGGUUGUAAACCUCUUUCAGCAGGGAAGAAGCGAAAGUGACGGUACCUGCAGAAGAAGCACCGGCUAACUACGUGCCAGCAGCCGCGGUAAUACGUAGGGUGCGAGCGUUGUCCGGAAUUAUUGGGCGUAAAGAGCUUGUAGGUGGUUUGUCGCGUCUGCUGUGAAAAUCCGAGGCUCAACCUCGGACUUGCAGUGGGUACGGGCAGACUAGAGUGUGGUAGGGGAGACUGGAAUUCCUGGUGUAGCGGUGGAAUGCGCAGAUAUCAGGAGGAACACCGAUGGCGAAGGCAGGUCUCUGGGCC